AAUUGAAAAACCAAAACAAGAAAAAAAAAACAAAACAGACGAAUAACACAAUGGACUGUUUCUUCGACCGUCGUCGAUUAAUAAUAUGUUACAUUUUAUUCUC
rnacentral:ribozyme from 1 species